rnacentral:misc_RNA from 1 species
AAAAUGAAACUCUUUUUUUUAUGGUAAAACUACUAUAACAAGUUUUACACUCUAAAUUCUUGAAAAGGUUUCUACUUCAAUGAUCUACAAGAACAGAAUAAAACCUAUAUCUCGUUGAAGAGGGUUGCUGCAGCUAAAAAAGGAUUUCAUAGCUAACAUACAAAAAUAAGAGCAGAAGGACCAGAUGUGACCCCUUUCUAGUAAAAUCUGAUGAGUAACUUCUCAUGGUCCAGAUCUUCACUGAAAAAACUAUCAUUUGAUGGUAGCAACACACCUGCCCCUCACCACUGUUUCUUCCAUCACCAAAUCAUUGUCUUCUUUCCAGCUUAAUGUGAAAGGGAUGUCGAAUUUGUACCCUUUAAUAACAAUUCCUUCCAGCCACUGAUCUUCCAAACUAACUAAAUCCUCCUUCGUUUACCUUUGAUGAUGAGGUGAAGAUGGCUGAUCUGGAGAAGACCGUUGCCCAGAAACUGCACGAAAUCGAUGUUCCUCAAAGGCUCCCCGUUGUCGAUUUCCCUCACCUGGCUGAGGUUGUUCAUUUGCACCUGAGAAACCUGCUGAACUCAGAGACCCAAACUCAAGUUGUUCUCCUUGUGAACCUUGAGAACCAUAACUAGCAUUGUGGUCAAAUGGAUACAGCAUCACAACAGGCGAACCACCAGGCCCAUUUGAAGUCGGUCCACUUGGGUUCAUUGCUGUUAAUGGAUACAUGCCAUAUGCCACAUUAGGAGGGCCACUAUGGCUUGAAUUUCCACGCAAUUGGCCAUUUUGGGACAGAUAAGGAACAGAAUCAUGUCUAUGUGAACUCCAUGAUCUGUCUGCCCGGCUGUCACUGGAUGCCAACCGAUCCACUCUUGAGUUUGAUUUCUCAGAUUGGCUGCGGUUAUAAUUGCGCCCACCAGCACGAGAUUUUGGAUUCAUAUUCCAAUUCCCCUCUCUGUCAACAUGGUUAUCGUUUCUCUCAUAGUUGUAAUUUCCCCUUCUUGUAUUAGAUGAGUGUCGAUCCCUAACUGAAACAGGAUUUGGCAGGUAUGUCCCUGUCCCGCUACGGAAUCUUGGUAUCUCAUCAACAUACCGUGGAAACACAUUAGGAGGUCUAUUAGAAGCAGACUGUAGGGGUGAAAUAGGCAAUACACGAGGACCACAGCUCAUCAGCUGAGUAAAGACGUUCAUGUUGGCUGAAUGAGGUCUUCCAG